GUGAAUCAUCAAAUUUUUGAACGCAUAUUGCACUCUCUGCGAUUCGUGAGCGUAUGUCUAUUUGAGGCUAAUAAGAAAUAAUAUAAAUUCCAAUUUUUGUCGGCAUUUAAAAUGGGUUGUCCAUUUUUUGUGCUCGCCUAUUUUACAAGAUAAGCUCUUUUUCUUGGGUUCCGUGAUACUUUCAGUUACUUCGUGAUUUAACUUGGAAUCAUCGGGCGUGUUAUUAAUUUUGCACGAGAUAAAAAAU
rnacentral:misc_RNA from 1 species